rnacentral:rRNA from 1 species
UACGUAGGGGGCAAGCGUUGUCCGGAAUCAUUGGGCGUAAAGAGCUCGUAGGCGGCCACUCAAGUCGAAUGUGAAACCUCGAGGCUUAACCUCGAGCCUGCAUUCGAUACUGGGCGGCUAGAGUCUGGUAGGGGGAUCUGGAAUUCCUGGUGUAGCGGUGGAAUGCGCAGAUAUCAGGAGGAACACCGGUGGCGAAGGCGGGAUCCUGGGCCAGUACUGACGCUGAGGAGCGAAAGCGUGGGGAGCAAACAGG